GGACGGGACCGGGGGCAACUCCGGUUCAGUGGCAGAUGGGUGCGUAACACGUGAGGAACUUGUCCAACGGUGGGGGAUAGCCGGCCCAACGGCCGGGUAAUACCGCAUACGCUCGUUCGGGGGCAUCUCUGGACGAGGACAGCAGCCGCAAGGUUGCGCCGAUGGAGAGCCUCGCGACCUAUCAGCUAGUUGGCGGGGUAAUGGCCCACCAAGGCGACGACGGGUAGCUGGUCUGAGAGGAUGGCCAGCCACAUUGGGACUGAGACACGGCCCAGACUCCUACGGGAGGCAGCAGUGGGGAAUAUUGCGCAAUGGCCGCAAGGCUGACGCAGCGACGCCGCGUGUGGGAUGACGGCCUUCGGGUUGUAAACCACUGUCGGGAGGGACGAAUACGGGGCCUCGAAUAGGGGACCCUGGGUGACGGUACCUCCAAAGGAAGCACCGGCUAACUCCGUG
rnacentral:rRNA from 1 species